CGAAGGCAGUGAGACUGAUACGUACAUUUAUUAAACAUCAGUGAUACUAUCAAGAGCUGUGAGGGAACUAUGUACGCAACCGGAAAAAUGUCACGCAGUAAUCCUUUAUAUGAUUUUGUGGCUGUGGGAAUUAUUAUUGUCUGAGCUAGAAUCAAAUAAUGUAGCGAACGAUGUAAGCAACCGGAAAGAGUAAUCCUUUGUAUGACUUUGUGGCUGUGACGACUACCAUAUUUGGCUCGUUGACAAACAAACCCCAGUACUUGAACUGCGUAGCAGCAUAUCAGAGUAAUCCACGCAGAAAUGGAACCGAAAUCACAGAAAAUAUAUUAGACGUUGUGGUGGCAGCUGUAGAGAGGUAUUUGGGUAUACGCGAUUUGUGUUCAGAGGAGUUACAGGGUGUUUUGAGUGGUGGUGACCCAUGCUAAAAUUAUUCCAAUUGUAGCCUGUUUCCUUGCGUAGGCUAACGUUGCUUGGUUGUACAUCCUCAAUUCUGGAACUGCAAAUGUAACGUUAUUAUUCUUGUAUGGGUUAGAAUGAAAUGAAACUGGCUGUUCACUGCAGAGCAGGACCAACACAGUGAAUGGUCAUUUUAAACAACCGCAUACGUUAAUGACAACUGCAACCCCACAUCAUCACUGACAACACAACAUUCAGUAACAUAAAUAGUGUGAGUUUAUCCGCACUUGGCCGUCUCCUGAAACGCCAUCAGAUUUGUAUGAAGCAGCUCUACAGAGUACCAUUUGAACAAAAUUCUGACAGUGUGAAACAACUGCGCUAUGAAGGAGAGACGAGAAGGAUCGGAGGACCAAAAUGCGGCGUGGUGAUGGAGGAGGCCUGUGGUGACAUGAGGGAGCAUGCCAGGGCUGGAUACACCACUUCAGAUGCUACUUUCCCCACUGUUUAGCCAGAGAGAACAGCUCUUGUGAUGUUGAGGAGGUGCUGUGGCCAGACUCAAAUAGGAGACAGGAUGCACCCAAACUGUUUUUUUCUUUAUAAACUCAGCAAAAAAAGAAACGUCCUCUCACUGUCAACUGCGUUUAAUUUCAACAAACUUAACAUGUGUAAAUGUUUGUAUGAACAUAAGAUUCAACAACUGAGACAUAAACUGAACAAGUUCCACAGACAUGUGACUAACAGAAAUUGAAUAAUGUGUCCCUGAACAAAGGGGGGUUCAAAAUCAAAAGUAACAGUUAGUAUCUGGUGUGGCCACCAGCUGCAUUAAGUACUGCAGUGCAUCUCCUCCUCAUGCACCAUAUUUGCCAGUGCUGUGAUAUGUUACCCCACUCUUCCACCAAGGCACCUGCAAGUUCCCGGACAUUUCUGGGGAGAAUGGCCCUAGUCCUCAUCCUCCGAUCCAACUGGUCCCAGACCUGCUCAAUGGGAUUGAGAUCCAGGCUCUUCGCUGACCAUGGCAGAACACUGACAUUCCUGUCUUGCAGGAAAUUACGCACAGAACGAGCAGUAUGGCUGGUGGCAUUGUCAUGCUGGAGAGCCAUGUCAGGAUGAGCCUGCAGGAAGGGUACCACAUGAGGGAGGAGGAUUUCUUCCCUGUAACGCACAGUGUUGAGAUUGCCUGCAAUGAAAACAAUGUAAUUCCGAUGAUCCUGUAACACACCGUCCCAGACCAUGACGGACCCUCCACCUCCAAAUCGAUCCCGCUCCAGAGUACAGGCCUCGGUGUAACGCUCAUUCCUUCGACGAUAAACGCGAAUCCGACCAUCACCCCUGUUGAGACAAAUCCACGACUCAUCAGUGAAGAGUACUUUUUGCCAGUCCUGUCUGGUCCAGCAACGGUGGGUUUGUGCCCACAGGCGAAGUUGUUGCCGGUGAUGUCUGGUGAGGACCUGCCUUACUACAACAGGCCUACAAGCCCUCGGUCCAGCCUCUCUCAGCCUAUUGCGAACAGUCUGAGCACUGAUGGAGAGAUUGUGCGUUCCUAGUGUAACUCGGGCAGUUGUUGUUGCCAUUCUGUACCUGUCCCGCAGGUGUGAUGUUCGGAAGUGUACCAAUCCUGUGCAGGUGUUGUUACAAGUGGUCUGCCACUGCGAGGACGAUCAGCUGUCUGUCAUGUCUCACUGUAGCGCUGUCUUAGGCGUCUCACAGUACUGACAUUACAAGUUAUUGCCCUGGCCACAUCUGCUGUCCUCAUGCCUCCUUGCAGCAUGCCUAAUGCACGUUCACGCAGAUGAGCAGGGACCCUGGGCAUCUUCCUUUUGGUGUUUUUCAGAGUCAGUAGAAAGGCCUCUUUAGUGUCCUAAGUUUUCAUAACUGUGACCUUAAUUGCCUACCGUCUGUAAGCUGUUUGUGUCUUAAUGACCGUUCCACAGGUGCAUGUUCAUUAAUUGUUUAUGGUUCAUUGAACAAGCAUGGGAAACAGUGUUUAAACCCUUUGGCUUUUUACCAAUUCUCUUUGAAAGACAGGGUCCUGAAGAGUUUAGUAACAAGCCUACUUGUUUAUAUUCUACUGUAUUUGUUUUGUCUGUUACUGUUCAUCCUGAAAUCUGGAUGAAAAUACAAUGUUAUGAGAAAGAAAUGCAUUUAAUAUCCCCCCCUUGUAUUUCUGUUUAUUGUGUAAAUAUAUACUAAAUAUGCAUAUAUACUGUAUAUAUUUGUGCACAUACAUGUAUGUGUGAGUGCUAUGACAAACUGCCGUGGACUCCACUGAAAAUGCAAAAGACAAAAUAGUAGUGUUUUACAUUUCUCAUGUCUGUGUGUAGUUGGUGUGUGUAAGAGCUAAUCAUUUUAUGGUUUGUGUGUAGAGUUUGAUGUUAAAACACAAUUUGAGGAGUUAAAAUAGUUUUGAAUUAAGUGUUUGGUUUUGCAAGAGAUGUGUGUUGUUUUGCGUGUGUGUUUUGGCAUUUUGUGUAGUCUAGAGAAAAGGAGCCAUAGUUUCAGAAAUCAUGCGCUAGCAAUUGUCAAACUGUAAUGCUCUGUCAUGUGUAUAGUCUACUGUAUUUCCAAAACAGUGUACGUUUCCGUGUGUGAUUGGUAAAAUAACUCUAAAAUGGCCUAAGCAUUUAACAAAUGACUGACAUUUGUCAUCAGAAAGAUGGAUUUAGCACUUUGUCCAAGAGGAGGACAAACAUAAGCUUUUCUUUUGGGGCAAAGAAAAAGAGAGUGGAUGAGCACUCUUUGAUUAGGGCUAAGCCUACAUAUCAGUAUUGGAGUUGAGUUGAUGCCAUUACAGCAAUUUUAGUACCAGAAGACCACCUGGUCCUUCUGUGGCUCAGUUGGUAGAGCAUGGCGCUUGUAACGCCAGGGUAGUGGGUUCGAUUCCCGGGACCACCCAUACGUAGAAUGUAUGCACACAUGACUGUAAGUCGCUUUGGAUAAAAGCGUCAGCUAAAUGGCAUAUAUUAUUAUUAUUAUUAUUAUCUGCAACAAGUUGUUUUGCAAUGUACAGAGUUCGCUCAGAGACGUAAAAGGAAGCAAGGCACCCCACUGUUUUUGUUUUGUUUUGUUUGUUUUUUGCCGUAUUUUCUGGCUUUCCAUAUCACCAUGAAUCUCUGUUUUUUAUGUCAUCGGGUAGAACUUUUUUACUUUAUUUUUUUCUACAAAACCCAUAGCAGCAUGCACUCCAGCAGGUAUAUCUCACUGGUCACUCCCAAAGCCAAUUCCUCCUUUGGUCGUCUUUCCUUCCAGUUCUCUGCUGCCCAUGACUGGAACGAAUUGCAAAAAUCUCUGAAGCUGGAGACUCACAUCUCCCUCACUAGCUUUAAGCGCCAACUGUCAGAGCAUUUUACAGAUCACUGCACCUGUACUUAGCCUAUCUGUAAACAGCCCAUCUAUCUACCUACCUCAUCCCCAUACUGGUAUGUAUGUAUUUAUUUAUUUUGCUCCUUUGCACCCCAGUAUCUCUACCUGCACAUUCAUCUUCUGCCGAUCUACCAUUCCAGUCUUUAAUUGCUAUAUUGUAAUUACUUCGCCACCAUGGCCUAUUUAUUUCCUUAACUUACCUCAUUUCCACUCACUGUAUAUAGACGUUUUGUUUUCUUUUGUUCUACUGUAUUAUUGACUGUAUGUUUUGUUUUAUUCCAUGUGUAAUUCUGUGUUGUUGUAUGUGUCGAAUUGCUACGCUUUAUCUUGGCCAGGUCGCAGUUGCAAAUGAGAACUUGUUCUCAACUAGCCUACCUGGUUAAAUAAAGGUGAAAAAUUGAAAUGAAAUA